rnacentral:rRNA from 1 species
CGGAACACGUACAGAACCUUCCUUUAAGCGGGGGAUAGCCCAUAGAAAUGUGGAUUAAUACCCCAUAGUAAUAUUUGGUGGCAUCAUUAGAUAUUUAAAGAUUUAUCACUUAAAGAUGGCUGUGCGGCUGAUUAGGUAGUUGGUGUGGGUAACGGCCCACCAAGCCAUCGAUCAGUAACUGGUGUGAGAGCACGACCAGUCACACGGGCACUGAGACACGGGCCCG